AGAGUUUGAUCCUGGCUCAGGAUGAACGCUGGCGGCGUGCCUAAUACAUGCAAGUCGAGCGAAUGGAUUGAGAGCUUGCUCUCAAGAAGUUAGCGGCGGACGGGUGAGUAACACGUGGGUAACCUGCCCAUAAGACUGGGAUAACUCCGGGAAACCGGGGCUAAUACCGGAUAACAUUUUGAACCGCAUGGUUCGAAAUUGAAAGGCGGCUUCGGCUGUCACUUAUGGAUGGACCCGCGUCGCAUUAGCUAGUUGGUGAGGUAACGGCUCACCAAGGCAACGAUGCGUAGCCGACCUGAGAGGGUGAUCGGCCACACUGGGACUGAGACACGGCCCAGACUCCUACGGGAGGCAGCAGUAGGGAAUCUUCCGCAAUGGACGAAAGUCUGACGGAGCAACGCCGCGUGAGUGAUGAAGGCUUUCGGGUCGUAAAACUCUGUUGUUAGGGAAGAACAAGUGCUAGUUGAAUAAGCUGGCACCUUGACGGUACCUAACCAGAAAGCCACGGCUAACUACGUGCCAGCAGCCGCGGUAAU
rnacentral:rRNA from 2 species